rnacentral:rRNA from 1 species
AUGACUAUUUAUAAUAGAUAUCUUGGCUCUCUCAUCAAUGAAGAAUGUAGUAAAAUGUGAUACUUGGUGUGAAUUGCAGAAUCCCAUGAAUCAUUGAAUCUUUGAAUGCAAGUUGCUUCCCAUUCCAUUGGGCCAAGGACACAUCUACUUGAGUGCCAUAUGUUGUUGCCCUUCCACCCCAUUACCCAUUGGGCUUUUGGUGAAGGGGUAAAAGAUGGCCUUCCAUGAUCUCGUCGAUCAUGGUUGGCCCAAAAGUGAGUCCUUGGCAAUGAUUGCACCAACCAUCAAUGGUAAAGCUCUUGAUGUGCCUCAUCUCCUAUGACAUGCACUCAUUGUCUAUCUAGACCCCAUCGGCCCCUUACAUCGCUCAAUCAAUGCUUGCAUUACCAUCCCAGGUCAGGCAAGAUUACCUAUUGAGUUUAAGCAUAUCAAUAAGUGAUGGAAAAGAAACUUACCAAGAUUCCCUAGUAAUGGCAAGCAAACUAGGAAGAGCCUAGUUUGAGAAUCGGGCACCCCUAAGAUCUGAAUUGUAGUCUAAAGAAGCAUCUUUAAUGGCGGACCAGGCCUAAGUCCCCUGAAAAAAGGCACCAAAAAAAGUAAGAGCCCUAUUAUGCCUAGACCCUGUCCCACAAUAAGGUGCAAACUAUUAGUCAGGUUGUUUGGGAAUGCAACCCAAAUUGAGCAGUAAAUUCUAUCCAAGGCUAAAUUCGGGUGAGUGACCGAUAGCAAAAAAGUACCGCAAAGGAAAGAUGAAAAGGUCUUUAAAAAGAGAUUUAAAUAGUGCUUGAAAUUGUUAUAAGGGAAAUAAAUGGGGGUUGGCUAUGCACCUUGGUCAAACAUGGAAUCGCGAGAGCCGGCCUGUAGAUAGGCACGAAGCAUGGAUCGAUACGGGUCAUGGUGGCAGCCUAAGCUUGGGCUUUUAAUAUGCCUAUAGAGAUGUCAUUUUUAUAAUUUUGGAAUGCAACACAAGUCAUCUUAGUGUGCCUUGGCACUCGCAUUCUCAAGAUAUUGGCUUGUAGGCUCCCCAUCUGGUCUAUCUUAAAACAUGAACCAAAAAGUCUGACAUGUGUGCAAGUCAAUAAGCUAGAAAACCCAUAAGGUGCAAGGAAGCUAAUUGGUGACAUCCCUCAUAGGUGCACCACUGACUGACCUUGAUCUUCUGAAAAGGGUUCGAGUGUAAGCAUGCCUGUUGGGACCAAAAGGAUGGUGAACUAUGCUUGUGUAGGGUAAAGCUAGAGGAAACUCUGAUGGAGGCCUACAGUGAUAUUAACGUGCAAAUCAUUCGUCUGACUUGGGUUUAGUGGUGAAAGACUAAUUGAACCAUUUAGUAGCUAGUUCCCUUUGAAGUUUCCCUCAAGAUAGUAGGAGCCCUUAGCAAGUUCUAUCGGGUAAAGCCAAUGAUUAAAGACAUCAAGGGUGUAAUGCUCUCAACCUACUCUCAAACUUUAAAUAGGUAGGAUGGUACAGCUACUUCAUUGAGCUGUGCCAUAGAAUCGAGAGUUCUAAAUGGGCCAUUUUUGGUAAGCAAAAAUGGCAAUAAGGGAUGAACUGGAAGCUGAGUUAUGGUGCCCAACUGUGUGCUAACCUAGAACCUAUAAAGGGUGUUGGUUGAUUAAGAUAAUAGGAUAAGGGUCACGAAAGUUGAAAUCUUCUAAGUGUGUAACAACUUACCUAUCGAAUCAACUAGCUUAAAAAAUGGAUGGCAUUUAAACAUGUGACCUAUACACAACUAUUAGGACAAGGGCAAAGGUCGGCCCUAAUGAGUAGAAGGGCAUGGUGGUUACUACAAAACUUAGGGCAUGAGCCCCGUAGAGUAGUCUCGAUGCUAAUCUUGGUGGUAGUAGCAAAUAUUCAAAUGAGAACAUUGAAUGCUGAAAAGGGGAAAGGUUCCAUGUGAAUUACACUUGCACAUGGAUUAGUCGAUCCUAAGAGAUGGGGGAAGCCUAUUCGAUAGUGUGUCCAAUGUGAACUUUAAAAGUGAAUCAAGUUAAAAUUCCUGAACCAGGAUGUAUAGGCUGACAGCAAUAUUAGGAAGUCAACAAAAUGGAUCCAUAGCCUCAAGAAAAGGAUUGGCUUUGAGGGCCAGGCACGGGGUCCUAAUCCCAAACUCAUCGGCUGUUGAUGUACUACUCGAGCUGGUAUCAUGGCAACAGUGGGUCAUUGUGUGCCAAUCAAGGAUGGACUUGGAAAGGCUUCCUUGAGGGCUUUCCCCAAGUAAUGAAUAGUCAACUCAAAAUUGAUACGGAUAAGGGGAAUCUAACUAUUUAAUUAAAACAAAGCAUUACAAUGGUCCCUACGAAUACUCAUGCAAUGUGAUUUGUGCCCAAUGCUCUAAAUGUCAAAGUGAAGAACUCAACCAAGUGAGGGUAAACAACAGGACCAACUAUGACUCUCUUAUGGUAGCCAAAUGCCUUAUCAUCUAAUUAGUGAGCACGUGAAUGGAUUAACACAAUUCCCAUUGUCCCUAUCUACUAUCCAAUGAAACCACAAUCAAAGGAAUAGGCUUGGCAGAAUUAGCAGGGAAAGAAGACCCUAUUCAGCUUGACUCUAGUCCAACCUUUGAAAUGAAUUGAGAGGUGUAGGAUAAGUGGAAGCCCUAAGUCAAAAUUGAAAUACCAUAACUUUUAACAUUAUUUUACUUAUUCCAUGAAUCGGAGGCAAGGCAGAACCCCUUAUAUUUGGCCUACGGCUAACCUUGAUUAGUCAAUUAAGGUAAAAGACAUUGUCAAGUGGAGAGUUUAUCUGGGGUAACACAUCUAUUAAAAGAUAAUACAGGUGUCCUAAGAUGAGCUCAAAUAGAAUAGAAAUGUCAAAUGGAACAAAAAGAUAAAAGCUCAUUUGAUUUUGAUUUCCAAUACGAAUAAACUAUGAAAGCAUGGCUUGUUAAUCCUGUAGACUUUCAGAAUUUGAAGCUAGAGGUGUUAGAAAAGUUAACAGAAGGAUAACUGUCUUAUGGUAGACAAGUGUUCAUAGUGAUGUUGCUUUUUAAUCCUUCAAUGUUGGCUCUUCCUAUCAUUGUGAAGCAAAAUUCACCAAGUGUUCGAUUGUUCACCCCCCAAUAAGGAAUGUGAGCUAAGUUUACCCUGUUAUGAGAUAGGUUAGUUUUACUAAAAUGGCAGCAUCACAAUAACAAUUCAACCUAAUAUGAGAGGAAUCGUUGAUUCCUACAUUUGGUUAUCCCACUUGGUUAAAAAGCUAGUGGCAUGAAGCUACCAUGCACUUGAUUAUGACUGAAUGCCUUUACAUUAGAAUCUAGGUUAGAAGGGACACAUGCAUCUGUCACCCAAUUGUCGACUAGUAGUAAGGGCCUAUGCCUUGAAGGGCACAUGUCAUAGGUGUAACACCCGUAGCAAACAAGCCAUACGGGCCUCUUUG